rnacentral:tRNA from 1 species
GGGGCUGUAGCUCAGCUGGGAGAGCGCUUGAAUGGCAUUCAAGAGGCCACGAGUUCGAUCCUCGUCAGCUCCACCA